AGAACGAACGCUGGCGGCAUGCCUAACACAUGCAAGUCGAACGCUCUUGGGGCUUCGGUUCCAAGGGAGUGGCGCACGGGUGAGUAGCGCGUGGGAACCUGCCCUGGAGUGGGGGAUAACCGAGGGAAACUUCGGCUAAUACCGCAUGCGCCCGGGAAACCGGGGAAAGAUUUAUCGCCCUAGGAGGGGCCCGCGUCGGAUUAGCUAGUUGGUGGGGUAACGGCCUACCAAGGCUUUGAUCCGUAGCUGGUCUGAGAGGAUGAUCAGCCACACUGGGACUGAGACACGGCCCAGACUCCUACGGGAGGCAGCAGUGGGGAAUAUUGGACAAUGGGCGCAAGCCUGAUCCAGCAAUGCCGCGUGAGUGAUGAAGGCCUUCGGGUUGUAAAGCUCUUUCGCACGCGAGGAUGAUGACGCUAGCGUGAGAAGAAGCCCGGCUAACUUCGUGCCAGCAGCCGC
rnacentral:rRNA from 1 species